AGUACUAUUCUAUUCUUUUAUUUUCACACCUCUGAAUAAUAUCUUUUCCAGUGGUCAGAACUCAAAACAGUGGCAGAAAAGGCAAAACUUAAUGAUUACUGUCCUAUGAACCCCUGCCCUGUGUAUGUGGAAGAAACACUUUUCCUGUUUUUCAUCCGAGUUUUGUUCCAAUAAAAAUAACACCCCUCCCUUGCUCACACACAUGUCCACCCAGUCUCAGGAAAGCCUAUAAACCCUCCGGCUUCGAUGACCAUAGAAAUACACACUGCAAGUCUUUCUUUUUUACUUACUGAGUGAUCAUUUUACACACAGAUACCAGCCAUGGACAACAUACAGACGAAGACUGUGGAUGUCUUUAAAUCUGUUGUGUACAGGAUUCCUGCUCUUUUCUACGACAGAAACAGUGAAACUCUUCUAGCUUUUGCAGAGCAGAGGGAGACUGCAGAUGAUGCCAGUACAAAGAACCUGGUUAUGAGAAGAGGAACGCUGAAGGAUGAAUCCUCUGGUGCAAAGACAAUUGAGUGGUCGGAGUUCAAAAUAGUGGAAAAGGCAAAACUUCUAAACUGCCGUCCUAUGAACCCCUGCCCAGUGUUUGAGAAGAACACCAACACACUUUUCCUGUUUUUCAUCUGCGUUGAGGAUGGUGUGACAGAGCAAUGGCAGAUAAAAAACUGCACCAACAAGGCCCGUCUCUGCUACAUCACAAGCGAGGAUCUUGGACAAACCUGGAGUGAUAUGAGAGAUUUGACAGACAAACUGGAUGAAAUUAAGAACUGGGCCACAUUUGCUGUUGGGCCAGGCCAUGGUCUUCAAAUGAAGACAGGUAGAUUGAUUGUUCCUGUUCAUGCUUAUGCUUGUGUUUGUGCUUCCCACUCUUCCUGCUGUUGUAACAUAAUGUGUAUGUGUAUGUGUUCAUGUUCGUGUACGUGUACGUGUACGUGUACGUGUACAUGCUCUGCUCCGAAUGCUCUUGCCCUGUACAGUGAUGAUAGGGGCAGCACAUGGAAGUUAGGCAAAAUGUUUCAAACACAAUCAGGGGAAUGUCAAAUGGCAGAGAUUUUUGAUGGAGACAAAAGCUCCAUCUACUGCAAUGCUCGUAGUCAGGGAUGCUGUCGAGUGGAAGCUAUCAGUGAAAAUGGUGGAGCUGAUUUUCACACAUUGUGCAAUGCUACAAAGCUUGUUGAAACUUGUUCAGGUUGUCAGGGAAGUGUGGUCUCAUUUCCAGCUCAAGGUGAAGGUGCAGAUGCAGAGGGUGACCCAAAGUGGCUGAUCUACACUCACCCAUGUGAUCCGUGCAAAAGAUUUAAUUUAGGAGUGUAUGUGAACAAAUCCCCAAAGGAUCCAAGUAAGUGGAGCAAACCCUGGAUCAUUAACAGUGGACCCAGUGGUUACUCAGACCUGGCUUACAUUGGUAAUGGUUGGUUUGCAUGUCUGAUGGAGCGUGGGGUGAAGAAAGAAACAGAGCAGAUAGCCUCUGUGGUUUUUAGCUACGAUGACAUCAAGCAAUGCCCUACAAUGCAAUGUAUAAUGUCAUGUCAGUGUUUUAAAUGUCCGUAAAUGACAUGACAAUCAAAGUUAUGCUUGGAUGCUCUGUACUUUAAAAUGAUUAACAGCCAUUUACAAAUACAAUUAACUUUAAGUUGCUUACGUUUUCAUUUUGUUUUGAUUUUGAUUUCAGCUCUAACAACCAUGACACUUAUGUAUAAUACUGUGCUGAUAUUUUGUUGCACUUUUCAAAUGUGUAUUUACAAAGAUGCUACAUUUACCCAGAGGUUGUGUUGUUUAUAAAAUGUAAAGAGCAAAAUACAUUUUGACAAAUACAUUGAGUUUUAAGAACUUUCACAACUAAUUAGGUGAUGGAAACAGCAGGAAAAGUACUUCCUGCUUUUUGUUGAUAUUUAACACCAUAGCCAUUGUGGCAAACAUGUUGUCAUUCAUCAACAUCACAUGACUAUAUAAGAAUAAAUGCUUGGUUUCAGUCAGGAAAUGUUCAAGAAGCCAUGUUAAAAGAAACCAUGUUGACUAUCAGUCAGAAAAUAUUGCUUUUGUUUUUCAUGGGAGAAUGAUCUCGACCAGACCGGAAACUGAAAUAUUUUCACUUUUUACAGCAAUAAUUGUAAUUACUGUUUUUAUUUUUUGUUUGAUUUUUUUGUUUCUCUCAAAAUAUUUUUUUUUUUACCUUGUGACACUUGUGACAAACCUAAAGUGUGCUGUUGAUAAAUGUCACUUCAGUCAUUACUGAAACAUUUAAAGGCUUUGUGUUAUGAUGUAUGCUGAAUUAUAUGUUUGAAUCCUGGUUAUUUUUCAUUGUACCACAGUUCAACCCGUUAAAAAAUUAGUCAUUCCUUCAGAAAUGAACAA